rnacentral:rRNA from 1 species
UACAGAGGGGGCAAGCGUUGUUCGGAAUUACUGGGCGUAAAGGGCCAGUAGGCGGCCAACUAAGUCGGAUGUGAAAUCCCCAGGCUUAACCUGGGAACUGCAUCCGAUACUGGAUGGCUUGAAUUCGGGAGAGGGAUGCAGAAUUCCAGGUGUAGCGGUGAAAUGCGUAGAUAUCUGGAGGAAUACCGGUGGCGAAGGCGGCAUCCUGGACCGACAUUGACGCUGAACGGCGAAAGCUAGGGGAGCAAACGGG